rfam:Gaeumannomyces graminis var. tritici R3-111a-1 unplaced genomic scaffold supercont2.5, whole genome shotgun sequence.
GGCAAGAUGGCCGAGUUGGUUAUGGCGUAGGAUCAGGGUGAAAACAAAACGUCUUCCUAUGGAGCAAUCCGCGUGGGCUCAAGUCCCACUCUUGUCA